rnacentral:misc_RNA from 1 species
GAUGAAGAACGCAGCGAAAUGCGAUACGUAAUGUGAAUUGCAGAAUUCAGUGAAUCAUCGAAUCUUUGAACGCAUAUUGCGCUCUCUGGUAUUCCGGAGAGCAUGCUUGUUUGAGUAUCAGUAAACACCUCAACUUCCAUAUCUUUUUUGAAAUGGGAGUUGGACUUGAGUGAUCCCAACGCUUUUCCUCACCGAAAAGUGGCGGGUUACUUGAAAUGCAGGUGCAGCUGGACUUUUCUCUGAGCUAUAAGCAUAUCUAUUUAGUCUGCCUAAAAAACAGAUUAUUACCUUUGCUGCAGCUAACAUAAAGGAGAUUAGUUCUUGUGCUGACUGAUGCAGGAUUCACAAAGACGGCUUCGGCCGACUUUGUAAACUCGAUCUCAAAUCAAGUAAGACUACCCGCUGAACUUAAGCAUAUAAUAAGCGGAGGA